ACUACGAGCAUUAGCUUGAAACCCAAAGGACUUGGCGGUGCUUUAGACCCACCUAGAGGAGCCUGUCCUAGAACCGAUAAUCCCCGUUCAACCUCACCCUUCCUAGCCUUUAUCAGCCUAUAUACCGCCGUCGUCAGCUUACCCUAUGAAGGUACUAAAGUAAGCAUAAUUGGCACUGCCUAAAACGUCAGGUCGAGGUGUAGCCUAUGGAAGGGGAAGAGAUGGGCUACAUUCCCUGCCCCAGGGAAUACGAAUGGCACACUGAAAUGUGUGCACCUGAAGGAGGAUUUAGUAGU
rnacentral:rRNA from 1 species